rnacentral:rRNA from 1 species
UACGAAGGGGGCUAGCGUUGUUCGGAUUCAUUGGGCGUAAAGCGCGUGUAGGUGGCCAAGUAGGUCCGCUGUGAAAACUUGAGGCUCAACCUCAAGCUGUCGGUGGAAACCACUUGGCUAGAGUCCGGAAGAGGAGAGUGGAAUUCCUGGUGUAGCGGUGAAAUGCGCAGAUAUCAGGAAGAACACCAAUGGCGAAGGCAGCUCUCUGGGACGGUACUGACACUGAGACGCGAAAGCGUGGGGAGCGAACAGG